GUGCGUGAGGCCGCUCCCGGGAAGGGGGUGGUAGGAAGCUCGCGGAGCCAAUGGCCGCGGCGGGCGGGCGGUGGCGCGCGUAACUUACAAGAUUAAAAUUAAAUUUGGUUGACGAUGGUUCUGAACAAAUACAGCUCCUUUAUUUGAGGUAUGCCAUUUUGAAGACAGACCGUGGAGUUUUAUCCUUGAGGACAAAGGAAGUCUUUGCGAAAGUCUUAUUUUAUAUAGCAAAAAUGUGAAUCCUGAGAAUGAAUUCUGUAAAGGUCCUGUACAACGUAAUAGAUGUUGGUGGAAGCAUUUACACCCAGUCAGCUUGAAGAGUCUCAAAUGGACCCUACUACUGAGAAAUCAAGAUGGCAGUCCACUAUGGGGAAUUGAGGAAAAUGGAUUAAUACAAGAGUGCUGUGAUAAUAUACAACCAAGACAGGGUUCUUUUAACAUGGAUUUCAUGACAUGAAUGAAGAUAUAGGUUUCUUACCCAACACAAUGGACAGUGGAUUUGACUUUCUAAAGACUUUUUGUAUCAUUAAAACAAGUA
rnacentral:lncRNA from 1 species